AUAGCUUAAUCGCCAGCAACACUACUCUUGUACUUUGGGACUUUUAUUAGAUAAAGUAACUGUUCCUUGAACACAAGCACUGCCAUACCAGAAAGUCGAUGUGAUCGCAGAAAGGGCGGCUAAGUGACUCACAGGUGAAAAGCUGUUACAGCGUGGAUCUGCUGGACAAAGGGAAGAUUCAUGUCCUGAGAGGGACGGAACCUGACGGCCCAAGAUUUCAUCACACUACUCAGAACUGCAGUUGCUGCUGUAAAUGGAUUCCAAAACCACUUUUAAUUGACCCACCCUACAUUGCCUCAGUUCAUCUCUCAUUCUGCACCAGCUGCCUGUUGUCCCAAAGUUUCAAUGCUAAUUCCACUACAGCAUGCUCCUGGAAACUUAUGAUAAGGAAUCUGGAACCAUCUGGUUUUAGUUGACUUUUUAAAAAUACGUUUUAGUGUCACAGUUGUAUUAUUAAACAUAAUUAUGC
rnacentral:lncRNA from 10 species